GAAGUGCUCCCUUCAUCCGAAAAUACUUGUCAUCACAAUGGCUAAAAAGAGUAUCUAAAUCUAAAAUACAUCUAGAUACAUCUCCUUGUAUCCAUUUUGAUGACAAGUAUUUCCGGACGGAAGGAGUAGUAU
rfam:Triticum urartu cultivar G1812 contig565755, whole genome shotgun sequence.